rnacentral:rRNA from 1 species
UUGACAUCUACAGAAGCCGGAGAGAUUCUGGAGUGCCUUCGGGAACUGUAAGACAGGUGCUGCAUGGCUGUCGUCAGCUCGUGUUGUGAAAUGUUGGGUUAAGUCCCGUAACGAGCGCAACCCUUGUCCUUAUUUGCCAGCGAGUAAUGGCCGUAACUCUAAGGAGACUGCCGGUGACAAACCGGAGGAAGGUGGGGACGACGUCAAGUCAUCAUGGCCCUUACGGGUAGGGCUACACACGUGCUACAAUGGCCGGUACAAAGGGCUGCAAGCUCGCGAGCGUAAGCGAAUCCCCUAAAGCCGGUCUCAGUCCGGAUCGGAGUCUGCAACUCGACUCCGUGAAGUCGGAAUCGCUAGUAAUCGUGAAUCAGAAUGUCACGGUGAAUACGUUCCCGGGCCUUGUACACACCGCCCGU